CCUGGACAAGAGCAGAGCAGAAGCUUGCUACAUCGUCUUUUAUCAGAAGAGGAUUCAUGAUCCAUUUCAAGGUUGCUCUGGACAGAGCGAGCUUUAAUCCUCCUUGAUAAUCUUGUUAAGAGGUACCCCUGAAGAUGACCACUUCCAGCCUUCCAGUUAUCUUUUCUCCAUUGCUAAACUGGAUUGCUCAGGACAGGUAUGUUAUACCCACACACCAAACAAACUUUUUGAGGUUUGGGGAGAUGCAUCACUGCGGAUUCUCUCGUAUUGCAAAAAAAGAAGAGAGCCUUGGAUCUACCAGUUCAAGCAAACAUUUCAUCUGACAGCCCUGGAGAUCCCACUUUGGAGAUGUCGCUUUAACAACUCAGCCAGCUAUCAUUUCUUCACUGCCAUACAGAUUGUGCAGCAAGAUGGUUCGGCCCUCAUACACUGAAAAAAGUGUUGCAUGCAAAACUGUUGCAAACAAUUUAUUUGUGUUGAAUUUAAACAAACAAAUUAAAUUUAAUAAUGUUCAACUUGAUUUGUUGGUUUAAAUUCAGCCCAAAUAAAUUGUUUACAACCACUUAACGUAAAAAAAUUGAGUAAAUCCAAGGAAUCAUCUUUGAAUAAUUUUUUUCAGUGUACCAGGAGGCAAAACAAGAAUUUGUUGAUUUGCGAAUUCUAGGUGCAUUAUUUAUGACAAAUGUUGGACAUUAUUUAAUUCAUGUGUGUAUACUUGUAUUUCGUUCAGUACUUAGAGGAGGAGGAGCAACAGAGACAGAACCCUCUUGUCCUGCUGCUUGGGGAUGAACUAAACUGCUCUCAGGCGUUUGUUAUUGUGAAAGAUGUGGCACUAAAUUCAUGGAUUUAAAUAAAGC